UUUGGGGAGGGAUGGCUGGUGGGCGGUGGUGAAAGGCAGAAUGAGCAGUGGUGCACCGAGCUGAGGGUGGCACACGGCUCUGCUCCCUGUUCAAUUCGUGCUAUCAUCACUAAACCCUGUGUACGCAGAGAGUGUAUUUCAUGUUCUCAGGGGCUUUGCAGUCAAUUGAAUGCUUCUAAAGCUCUUCCUCCCUGCUUUCCUUGCUCUGGACGCUGAAGCACGCUCUUCCCUGGGAUCGGGAGCCAGGGACUGUUGGUGCCUGUACCAGAGGCACAGCCCAAGAGGAGAGAGCAGCAUUCCCCAGGAUGAUGGCACAGGGUGCAGAGAAACCUCAGCACAUCACUUGGAAACAUCCAGGAACGUUUUGGCUGGGCACGGUGUUCUGCAAACACAGCCUGGGAAUCGGCAGGGCGGCACCAGGAGAUAAAACCAGACCUCACUUCAGUAUUUUCACCAUUUUCAAGGCAGCCCCAGCUUGGCUGGCAGGGGAUCUAACAAGGGUCACACAGGAUCACAGCAACAGCCCAGCAGGAAAAAUUCAUUUUCCCAUCCAGUGGCAAUAGCCCAAGCCUGGAUCUGUGGGAGUAGACGUGAACACACCCCAAAUUCUGCUGUCACAACCCCAGCCCUGUGGCCCAGCUCUGGAUGGAUUUACACAGACAAAGGAAUUCCAGGGAGAGGAAAGCCAGGAAUACAUUGAUAGAGGAAUUAAAGAGAGACCUGGUUCUUUUUCCCACCUGGCUCUUUUCCCCACCUGCCAGCCCUGCUUAGAGAUUCUCUUUUUUAUAGGUAGCUCAAUUUUUUCCUUGUUCUCACAAGAACAACAGGGUGAAGUUCAGUCUGAGGUGCCCCCUGAGGGCUCCCAAUGCCCUUAGGUGUCCACAAGCAUCUGGAAUCUUCUGGUAGGGAGGUCUGAUGGUGCAGGAGAUGGAGAUGAGACUCCAAAGCACCCCCUGAUCCACCUUUCUCCAUCCACCUCCUCCAUCCAGACCUUUCCAACCUCCAUCCAGACUUUCCCAGCCUCUUUUCCAACCUCCAUUCAGAACUUCCCAACCUCCAUCCAGACCUUCCCUGCCUCGUUCUCAAUCUCCAUCCAGACUUUUCCAACCUCCACCCAGACCUUCCCGCUGUCCUCCCCAGAGGUCAGAGUUUGGUGUUGGCCAUUGGCCUUGGAGGAGCUGUUUUCCUGGGAAAAUGAAGUGUCACGUUGGCUCCCUCCAUAUGUCUGGUAGAACCAUGAAAUAUUGCAGAAGAUUGAGAUUUAUCAGUUCGGACAGAUUGGCCUCUUUCGCUGGGCCUAUAAAAGCUCUGAAUGAUGCCAUCCAUCAUGGACUGGACAGCAGCAGCUCUGACUGAGGACCAGGCAAUUUUGCAUCGCUGGGGCCAAGUGCCAAUUCCUUAAGUAAUCCCAGGUUUCAUUACAGAGGCAGCCGGAGGAGGGCAAAGCUUUGAAUUUAUUUUUUUUUUAAAGUCAGCUGCAGGACACUUGCAAGUUAUGAUGGAAUUGAUGGUGGAUGACUCGUUAAAAUUAAUUAUAGCCAUAAUUAGGAAUGUUCAGGAAGAAAACCACAAGAAAAUGAUCCAUGGAGGAAUAUUUUCGAUAGUAAUAUUUUA